rnacentral:rRNA from 1 species
UGGGGAAUAUUGGACAAUGGGGGGAAACCCUGAUCCAGCGACGCCGCGUGAGUGAAGAAAUAUUUCGGUAUGUAAAGCUCUAUCAGCAGGGAAGAAAAUGACGGUACCUAACUAAGAAGCCCCGGCUAACUACGUGCCAGCAGCCGCGGUAAUACGUAGGGGGCAAGCGUUAUCCGGAUUUACUGGGUGUAAAGGGAGCGCAGGCGGCAGGGCAAGUCUGAUGUGAAAACCCGGGGCUCAACCCCGGGAUUGCAUUGGAAACUGUCCAGCUCGAGUGUCGGAGAGGUAAGCGGAAUUCCUAGUGUAGCGGUGAAAUGCGUAGAUAUUAGGAGGAACACCAGUGGCGAAGGCGGCUUACUGGACGAUGACUGACGCUGAGGCUCGAAAGCGUGGGGAGCAAACAGGAUUAGAUACCCUGGUAGU